GUACUUUGAUGAUGACUGACUAUGACGUUUAUGUUUGAUCUUUUGAUAUGAUAAGUAUUCUUGAAUCUUGAUUGUGUUUUAAGAAUAUUUUUGCAGGUAUAUUCAAGACUUCAAGACUCCAUGUUUAAGUCAUAGAGUUUGUAUUAGGAAUGUGUGAAAAGUGUAAUUUUUCUUUUAUUAGAUCGAUCAUGCAGGAGAUUGUCGUUUGGUGAUUGCGAUGAUCUUCGUUUUAUUGUUUCUGAGUUGUGUAGGAGCAUUGUAAUAUGUUUUGUCACGAAAUCGCCAAAGGGGGAGAUUGUUAAGGAUUUUCUAGGUUGGCGAAUUUCGUAAAGUCGAAUGGAGUCUUGAAGAGUUGAUCGCGCUAGUUUGAAGAGAAGAUUCAAUUUGAA
rnacentral:lncRNA from 1 species